UAUUCUGCCCUACAGGGAAGGAUGAGAAGCUUCGACCAAGGUUCGACUCGAGCGAAACGAGAGAACGUUGCCGCAGGCAACGGCCCGAAGGGCGAGGCGCUUUAGCGCCGAGUAAUCCUUCCCCCACCACCA
rnacentral:sRNA from 2 species